rnacentral:misc_RNA from 1 species
UCUCCGUUGGUGAACCAGCGGAGGGAUCAUUAUCGAGUUUAUAACUCCCAAACCCUAUGUGAACUUACCACUUGUUGCUUCGGCGCGCGCUUCGGUGCCGCCGAGGACACUUAAACUCUUUGUUUUUAUAAGCAUUUCUGAGUGGCCGAAAGGCAAAAUACAAAUGAAUCAAAACUUUCAACAACGGAUCUCUUGGUUCUGGCAUCGAUGAAGACGCAGC